UAAUACGUAGGGGGCGAGCGUUGUCCGGAUUCACUGGGCGUAAAGGGCGCGCAGGCGGCCGAUUCAGUCCGCCGUUAAAGCCCGCGGCUCAACCGCGGGUGGUCGGCGGGGACGGGUCGGCUCGGAGGCCGGUAGGGGGGCAUGGAAUUCCCGGUGUAGUGGUGAAAUGCGUAGAGAUCGGGAGGAACACCAGUGGCGAAGGCGAUGCCCUGGGCCGGGCCUGACGCUGAGGCGCGAAAGCGUGGGGAGCGAACCGGAUUAGAUACCCGGGUAGUCCACGCCCUAAACGGUGGCCACUAGGUGCGGGGGGUAUCGACCCCUCCCGUGCCGUCGCCAACGCAGUAAGUGGCCCGCCUGGGGAGUACGGCCGCAAGGCUA
rnacentral:rRNA from 1 species